rnacentral:lncRNA from 1 species
UGCAAGUCAGAGAAGCCACAAAGCGUCCACAAGGACGGAGGGCGCGCCCCCCACCCUUUUGGGCCCCUCGUGACUCCACCGACCUAGUUUCUUCGCCUAUAUAUUCUCAUAUAUCCCAAAACCAACAGAGAGAGCCACGAAAACACUUUUCCAUCGUCGCAACCUUCUGUACCCAUGAGAUCUCAUCUAGGGGCCUUUUUCGGCGUCCUGCCGGAGGGGGAUUCGAUCACGGAGGGCUCCUACAUCAACACCAUUGCCCUUCCGAUGAAGCGUGAGUAGUUUACCACAGACCUGCGGGUCCAUAGCUAGUAGCUAUAUAGCUUCUUCUCUCUCUUUUAUUCUGAAUACCAUGUUCUCCUCGAUGUUCUUGGAGAUCUAUUCGAUGUAAUACUUUUUUGAAGUGUGUUUGCCGAGAUCCGAUGAAUUGUGGAUUUAUGAUCAACUUAUCUAUGAAUAUUAUUUGAAUCUUCUCUGGAUUCUUAUAUGCAUGAUUUGAUAUCUUUGCAAGUCUCUUCGAACAAUCGAUUUGGUUUGGCCAACUAGAUUGGUUUUUCUUGCAAUGGGAGAAGUGCUUAGCUUUGGGUUCAAUCUUGCGGUGUCCUUUCCCAGUGAUAGUAGGGGCAGCAAGGCACGUAUUGUAUUGUUGCCAUCGAGGAUAAAAAAAUGGGGUUUACAUCAUAUUGCUUCAGUUUAUUCCUCUACAUCAUGUCAUCUUACUUAAUGUGUUACUCUGUUCUUCAUGAACUUAAUACUCUAGAUGCAGGCAGGAGUCGGUCGAUGUGUGGAGUAAUAGUAGUAGAUGCAGGCAAGAGUCGGUCUACUUGACACGGGCGUGAUGCCUAUAUUCAUGAUCAUUGCCUUAGAUAUCGUCAUAACUUCGCGCUUUUCUAUCAAUUGCUCGGCAGUAAUUUGUUCACCCACCGUAAUAUUCUCUAUCUUGAGAGAAGCCUCUAGUGAAACCUAUGGCCCCCGGGUCUAUUUUCCAUCAUAUAAGUUUUCGAUCUACAAUUUUAGUUUCCGAUUUACUUCCUUUGCAAUCUUUUACUUUCCGAUCCAUAAAGCAAAAAUACCAAAAAUAUUUACUUUACUGUUUAUCUAUCUCUAUCAGAUCUCACUUUUGUAAGUAACCGUGAAGGGUUGACAACCGCUUUAUCGCGUUGGGUGCAGGUGGUUGAUUGUCUGUGCAGGUAUUCGGUGACUUGUUCAUUGUCUCCUACUAGAUUGAUACCUUGGUUCUCAAACCGAGGGAAAUACUGAUGCCUACUACACAACUUGUUCUUGUAGCUCGUGUUGGGCCUCGAAGCACAGAGUUUUGUAGGACACUAGAAAAUUUCCCUCAAGUGGAUGACCUAAGGUUUAUCAAUCCGUGCGAGGCGUAGGAUGAAGAUGGUCUCUCUCAAACAACCCUGCAACCAAAUAAUAAAAAGUCCGUGUGUCCCCGGUACACCAAAUACAAUGGUAAUUUGUAUAGGUGCACUAGUUUGGCGAAGAGAUGGUGAUACAAGGGUAGUAAUGAUAGUAGAUAUUGAUUUUUAUAAUAGGAACAAUAAAAAACAUCAAGGUAGCAAUUGAUAAAACGGAGCACAGACGAUAUUGCAAUGCUUGAAAAUGAGGCCUAGGGUCCAUAAUUUCGCUAGUGUAACCUCUCAACAAUGCUAAUAUAAUUGGAUCAUAUAACCAUCCGUCAAAGUGCGAUGAAGAAUCACUCCAAAGUUCCUAUCUAGCAGAG